rnacentral:rRNA from 1 species
GACGAACGCUGGCGGCGUGCUUAACACAUGCAAGUCGAACGGAAAGGCCCUGCUUUUGUGGGGUGCUCGAGUGGCGAACGGGUGAGUAACACGUGAGUAACCUGCCCUUGACUUUGGGAUAACUUCAGGAAACUGGGGCUAAUACCGGAUAGGAGCUCCUGCUGCAUGGUGGGGGUUGGAAAGUUUCGGCGGUUGGGGAUGGACUCGCGGCUUAUCAACUUGUUGGUGGGGUAGUGGCUUACCAAGGCUUUGACGGGUAGCCGGCCUGAGAGGGUGACCGGCCACAUUGGGACUGAGAUACGGCCCAGACUCCUACGGGAGGCAGCAGUGGGGAAUAUUGCACAAUGGGCGGAAGCCUGAUGCAGCAACGCCGCGUGCGGGAUGACGGCCUUCGGGUGGUAAACCGCUUUCGCCUGUGACGAAGCGUGAGUGACGGUAAUGGGUAAAGAAGCACCGGCUAACUACGU